rnacentral:rRNA from 1 species
AGCAGCAGCCACGGUAAUACGAAGGGGGCUAGCGUUGCUCGGAAUCACUGGGCGUAAAGGGUGCGUAGGCGGGUUUCUAAGUCAGGGGUGAAAUCCUGGAGCUCAACUCCAGAACUGCCCUUGAUACUGGAAGUCUUGAGUAUGGGAGAGGUGAGUGGAACUGCGAGUGUAGAGGUGAAAUUCGUAGAUAUUCGCAAGAACACCAGUGGCGAAGGCGGCUCACUGGCCCAUAACUGACGCUGAGGCACGAAAGCGUGGGGAGCAAACAGGAUUAGAUACCCCCGUAGUCCCUGUCUCUUAUAC